AGUGCAGAGAGCUAGGUAGGUUGUGAGAAAGGAGAACUGGGGAAAGGGGCAGGGAAUAGGUAGCUGGAAAGGGGCAAGGGCUAGCUUCUCUGUAACAGUUGAGUCUGGUGAUUUUCUGGGGGAGCAAGGGAAGAGGCAGCACAGGUUUCUGUGGUCCGGGGUGGACUGGAAACUCUAGACACUUCCAGCUCAGCCAGUGCCACCCCACAAACCUGACAUUUGCAUGUCUGCCUUUCCUGUCUGCACAUCAGCUGUCUUGGCAGAGCUUCUCUUCUGGGGCCAUUUGCCUUAGCAGCAAGCAGCAUCAAGACCUUUCUAGGAAAGGAAUAAGAUUGUUUUAUUUGAGGUGGCUUAAUUUGCAAAGAGAGAGAGCACAUGUGGCUCUGAGAUAAGGUGUAGCAUGCUGGACCUCAUCAUGAUAGGCAAUAAUGAUACUCCUCUCAAGCACAGGACAUGCUCAGUUUUCCUGUUGGAAAAAAAAAGCCACAUCUGAGUUGCCCAGAGCUGGUUCCAGCCCAUGACUACUGUGGAAAAGUGGUGAAUCAGGCCUCGAGCUCAGCUCCAGUGCUGGCAGGGUCAGCACUGUUGGUGUCCAAUUUACUUGCCAAAGUUUAGCCAUCAUUUUGUCUCGUAACUGGCCAUAUAUUUCACACAUUUGAAACCUCAUUCGUGUUACAGCCAAGUAGAAUUAAUUUUGAGCACAGCAGAGGCUGUAUUUUUAAUAAAAGGCUAUGCUUAUAAAUAAACACACACAUAGUGGGGGCUCCUACUGAAAGCACAGAAGCAGCAAAUUAUUGUUGUAGUCUUAAGGAAGGUUAUCAGAGAAUUCAGUGUUUAAUAACAUCAUAGAAAAGGUGUGAUCCUGUAGGAUUCUGGAUUCUAUCAGUUCCUUUUGGGUUUUGACCAGUUUUUGAGGUACCCCAGCACCACACAGAGUCAAGACCCUGAAAUCAUUAAGCAGAGAGCACAGUGUAGGAAAUGAAGCAAGAGAACAACUUGCGUAUUCUUACUAAUAGCUUUUGUUGCCCAAAAUUUGAGUAUGUUUACUUUGUGUUUGUGGUAGCUAGUUGUAAUAACUCCAGUGGUGGUCUCAGUUGUUUUUAUUGAAUUCAUAAUAUGUGCUGGCUUUGGAUGAGCAGUUUCAAAGACUUCUGCUGAUGUGAGCUGGAAUUUGUGCUCUGUUUGCUUCAUGCUAUGUCUUCUGUAACUGCAGUGCUUAUAUGAACACAGUUAAUGGUAUGUUGUAGCUUGGUGUGAGAGGCUAAGAUAAAACCCCAGCUGUUUCUGAAGAUACCGCCUGCUGCUAUCAAGAGGUUUAGUUUAGCAAUUUUAAGUGUUACAAGGACCUGUAGGACCUAUAUUUUUGAACUGCUUUCCUGAAGAGAAGGUGGAAAUGUAUAUGCCUGGCUAUUUUAGGAAUCAUUCUUUUGAGUGUGCUUAUACUUUAUAAAAUGCAAGCUCAGGGAACAUGGAUAAUAAAGCUGAAUUAUCAUCCUCGAGUGUCUGUAGAUUAAGGAUAUUGGCCAUGAGUGAGUCGUGGCAAAAGCUGAAUUAGGUUUAAAAUAUCAGCAGCAACAUCAACGGAGAAAGGAUGGCCCGAUCAAGUGCCAGCCAUGUCAUUAUAAUUCUUAGAGAUUCGGGUACAGCUUAAGGUUUGCCUUCUUCACUGACACGCAUCAGGCUUGCUCAAGUCACCAGCCAGCCAACUUCCAUGAUGCCUCCUGCUGACCAGUACAUGAAGAAAUAGCUAUCUGCCAAACAAGUUGUUUGUUUUGUUUCAAAGCCCCAGUGGGCCCAGCCCUUCCUGCCCAGCAGCUGCAGCAGGCUCUGUUCCUGCUUGGUGCCUGGCCUGGGAAGACCUUGCUUGCUGGCCCAUGAGAGUGGUUCUCCGUAAUUGGCUUGUGGGGAGUGCUGUGUGAGAGGAUCUGUUUGGGGAUUAAAAGUGCACACACAGCUCUGCAGGCCCCGUGGGCAGCAUCCCAGUAUCUCCUCUCUUUCAGUUGAGCUCUGCCACAUUUGCUGUAGUGAUGGCUCCCUGCUUCUCCACAGGCAGGAUGCUAUUGGUGGGAUCCAUAAAGUAUGCAGACAUGAUCUGGAAUGUUGAUCAAGUCUAAGGAUAAAGCGACAAAGAAAAUGGCCACCAGUUGAAAUGCCAUAAUUCAAAUAAUCAUGAAUGAAAUACCCCCCGUCUAAGACUUUCUGCCAUGUAUGCUAGGACCUUUGGAAAGCCAAACAGUUUUCUGAAAACCAAACACAUCUAAAGAGUAAGCCAUCAUUUGUUACUGUUAUAUCAUCUUUUUACCUGUGGAAAUGAGGGGAAGCUCAUCCCAUUCACGGAGUCCCAUCCGUGAUUUCUGGCUUACGAAGCAUGCAAGUAGUGCAAAGAUGGCAUGACAGAAAAGUCAUCAGACAUUCAUAACCCUGUCUUCGUUACAAGACUUGAGUUCAGGUCAGUAAAUAAGAUCUGGUGAGCAGUCAGAAUAAAAAUAAAAAAAAAGUUGAACGUUCAUGUGUGUAAUAAUUAGCAUUUGGUCUGUCCACUGAAUGAGGAAAUGGCUUUAGGAAAAAAUAGUCAUGGCAUCCAUAGUCCUGCAUGCACUGUGUACACCAAGGAGCCUGAAAUGCAGUUGUCUGGGAGAUCUUGGAAGGUUGUAAGUUUUGAGUGACUGACUUUGUAUCUGUAGUGUUCUUUUAAUAUGAUUUUUGGCAUAUAAUUUGCUACUUGGCAUUUUGUGUAGAUGAAGCAGUAGAAGAGGUAGACAAAGGCAUGAAAAUAAAGUAAUUCUACUCUGAAGGCAAGAAACAGCAAAUUCUUUUCAUAGACCCUUGGAUAACUUCCUGUUUUGUCUGUAAAAUAAUAUUUUUCCAUAGAGAGGAAAAAGGUGUUAGACAUAGCAAUUUCACAUGGAUAGAAACUUCAUCACAUAAAUAGCCUGCUGUGAAUGACAUUUUAGGCAGCUUAAUCAAUAUCCUGCCAGAAGAAAAAAAAAAAAACAGAAAAACUCCCUCAAAAAACAGUUGUAAAUUCAAUGCAUCCGUUAAUUGGAGAUAUAUUGAAAUUCAGAUACAUGUUACUUAUAAAAGAGUGAGAAAAUAAACCUUGCAUUACUCUAAAGUCAUAACCAUUCAUAUACUAAUUAUCUGUUGAUAAAACAGUUGUAUGACGUGGGGUUUUGUUUUGUUUUGGGUUUUUUUAGGUUGCUAGGGAAUAGUGGAUCUAUAUAUUCUUGAUAACAAUUAUCAUACACAAGCAGGUAGCACUUUUCACUCAGAUUACAAAGAACUCAGCAGAAAUUUUGCUAUUUUGUAAAUGGGAAAAGAGCAGAAAGAGGUCAGGAGCUUGUUUAGAGUGUUGCAGCAUGUCUGAAGUACUGUGUUCUGCCUGAAGCUUGAUGCCUCCCAACAUCACUACACUAGAGCUGCAUUUUGUGUAUGUUGUAUCCUUACAUGUGUGACACAGGUCUGCAGGAUGCCCUUGCACAGUGAAAUAACAGAUUUUGAUUGUUGUUUCUAAGAUCGUAAGCUUGAUGUAAAGGGGUUUGAAAGCUAAUCAGGAAGUUAGAGCUGAAACAGACUGUAGUUCACUAGCACACUUAACACAGUUGUCAGUGUUUAAUUAGGAGACAUUUAAGGCUAAAUAUUCAAGUGUGGCAUUUGGGAUUUAGUGUUACACAAAAAGGUGAGAAAAGCUUCUGCCCUGACAAGAAGUUGUGAAAACUUACAGUCUUGUGAACAGUGGAAGUUUAAAAGUACAGACAGGCAUGACCUUUUUCAGCAGAUGUGCUAGUUAGCUUAAACUGUCUAAAUAGUAAUGCCACUCACUUUAACUUCAAGUGGCUUUGGGAGUAUUUCUGUAAGCAAGCUCUGCCAACAAAUGUGAGGGAGCAGUAACCUCUGUGAAGAAGUGAUGAUCAACAGCUGGGACUCUAACCUUCCCCUGGCAUGUCUGCAUCCAGCAGGGAACAUCUGUCCAAAGCCUAACUUUCAAAAUUUACAGAACAAAGGUAUAGUUUGUUUAACAAAAUUGCUUGUAUUAGCUGAGUAAUGGAAUGUGCUUUGAUUCUGCUGAAGCCAGAACCACCCAACUUUUACUUUCCUUAUUUAAUUAGGAUUCAUUUAUUUAGAAAACUCAAGAUUGGGGUUUUCAAUUUGUUCAUUUAUUUGUUUUACGGAGCUUAGGUCAUGUAAAGCUCCCUUAGCUUAGGAAAAAACUUUUAUGUUACUCAGAUUUUUGAUUUUUUUUCCCAUCAAGCUGUGUAAAACAUUUAAUGAUAAAAUUGUCCCAAAGCAUGUCACAAUUUAUUUGGUAUCAUUUUGAUAUGCCAAGCAGAUGGGAGUAUACAGUGAUCCCAUUAAGUGUUUGAGGUUUAAACACAUGCUCUUGAAAAAGGAGCAGUGGUAAACAAAGUUGCUGCCUGCAUUUCAAAUAUUGGUAGGUGCUGGUGGUAUCCAUUCAUUUUUUUACUGUCAAAAUGGCGCCAUGAAAUACUGAUAGACAGCUCUUUUGAUUUAAGAAUUACUAAACCAGAAUGUGCAGAGUACUAUAUGAAACUUCAGUGUAUUAUGGUUCUUUAUGUCACUAAUUGGAAUUCAGAUGCUGAUUUGUACUUAUUUUCUUAAAUAAAUAGGAACCAAGUUUGGAAAGUUAGGGCAAAUGACCCAUGAAAAGAAUUUCCUUCGUUUUUUUUUCUUUCUUUUCCUUUUUUUCCCCCUAAGAGUGGUUUUAGCCAUAUCUGUGUCUGUGAAAGUAGAGCACCUGCUGAAGAGGUAUAAGGUCAAGUUAAGUGUUGAUUCCUACACUUACUACUUCUUGGUUAAAUCGUGCAUUUGUUAGCCAUAAAAUAAACCAGCAUUGAACAAUCCUUGAAAUAGCUUGAACCUUGAAUAAGAGCAUUUUAUAAUACAAAAGGAGACAGGCAGAAGAACCCUUGUAGAUAAAUAAUCUAUCUCCAGAACAGAAUUAUGUAAUUUGACAGUAUGUUUUUGUGGGUGAGAGGAAUUUAAGUUAUUUUAAACUUCUCUCUCUUUUCCUCCUACCUUCGAGGUUAUAGGUGUAAUGAAUACCCCAAAUAUAAUUUAUUCUUGUCUGCACUUCUUUCAUUAUGAAACUUCAAAGCAACAAGGAACAUCUCUUGUGGAAAAAAGGAGCACGAAUGUAAGAUUUGGGAUGGAUGGGUGGUGGCAGAGCUGUUGGACCCUACUGCAGCUGUUGGCUCACAGACUCUUCUGUCCAGUCCAGCUCCCUCCAGAAGCAUGAGCUCUCACACAGCUGGUAAUUCUUAUGUGUCCAAGUAAUGUGGAUUUGGGUCCAGAAGACAUGGUCAGUUUGUCUAAUUAGCUUCCUGUCACUACAGCCAAGGCAGAAAUUUAAGCAUCAGCUGAGUUGAUAGUUGUUGGGUACAUGAAGGUGAUGACACAUCAGAGGUCUCAGGGUUAGGCCUCUGAGAAGCUGCAACAGUACCUUACAGGUGUGGAGCUCUAUUUGCUGAGGUUUAACCUGAUGGAGGCUUCCCCCUUCACCUGUGCUCCGUGUGCCAGCUCCAUGGCAAUGGGACCUUUAGCACUUGUGGAAGGGUGAUGAGUACCUUCACUGACCGACCCUCAGUGCUGGCCUCAAAAAAGGCACCAUGGACCAAAACAAAAAGGGUGGAAAGGCUACCCAGCUGGUCACACAAUGCAAGAGAAGGCCUUGGCUGCUGUUCAAAGCCGCUCUGAGUGAGUGUUUCAAUUUAAUUCUAAAUUAAAAGCAGCCAGUGUUGUAUAGCACAGUGAAAAGAUUAUGUAUUAAUGCUUUUUCCCCCGACAUAAUCCUAAUGAUUGCACUAAAAUAAAUAAAAUUUAAACUUGCUUCCUCCCUUUGCCCCAUUGCUAUAUUAUGCUGUGGCGAGCAGCCAGGUUUUCCAAGGUAAAAAGAAGAUGGAGAGGUCCCAAAGCUGCAAGACUGAGAGGGGGAUCAGGCACUGCUGAGGUCUGCUUCAGCCUUCUCCCUGCUCAUUCGCCAUUGAUGUGCUUUGCUUCAGGCCCCCAUUGAACAACAAGUAAGAGAAGAAGCCCCUUAGCAAAAAGCCUGAGUAAAAUUGAAGUUGCCAGCAGAAGGAAGCUGAGGGCUGUGAGGUGGUGACUUACUAAUGUGUGUGUGGAUAUGUGUCUGACUGCUCCUCCAGAGAACCUGGUGUUUGCUUCUGUGGGAGCAGGUGAGUGGUACUGUGCUCUCACUGGGAAAUGUCUCUCUUCUCAAGAGCUGGUCAUGAUAAAUGAUACCUGUUGGGAUGCUUUGUGGUCACGUUUCAGUGGGCUGGGGUA